UGGGGAAUAUUGCACAAUGGGGGAAACCCUGAUGCAGCGACGCCGCGUGAGCGAAGAAGGUUUUCGAAUCGUAAAGCUCUGUCCUAUGGGAAGAUAAUGACGGUACCAUAGGAGGAAGCCCCGGCUAACUACGUGCCAGCAGCCGCGGUAAUACGUAGGGGGCAAGCGUUGUCCGGAAUCACUGGGCGUAAAGGGUUCGCAGGCGGAAAUGCAAGUCAGUUGUGAAAGGCAGAGGCUCAACCUCUGUAAGCAAUUGAAACUGUAUUUCUUGAGAGGUGGAGAGGCAAGUGGAAUUCCUAGUGUAGCGGUGAAAUGCGUAGAUAUUAGGAAGAAUACGGGUGGCGAAGGCGACUUGCUGGACACAAACUGACGCUGAGGAACGAAAGCGUGGGUAGCAAACAGG
rnacentral:rRNA from 1 species